CUCAUCUUGGUCAGUAACGAGUUGGUUGUUCUUCAGCUGUGAUUACCAGAAAACCAGACAUUCUUUGGGCAUAGUAGUUAAUGAUAGAAGUUGGCAGCUAUAAAUAAGAGCUCACAUUGAUACUCUGUGAAGGGAAGGCUCUGAAGGGUGGAUGGAGUGGCUGGAGGCUUGGGUCCAAGACACGCAGAUUCCAGUCCCAGCUCCGUUGGCAGCUGUCUCCACAGGCAGCUCCCAAGAUGCUGUGGGUGAGCAGGUGCUUUGCUGGGAAAACCUCUUAUCAGACAUAGCUGCCUAGUACCUCUCGAGUGGCACCCAGACAUCCUUCCCUUUCCUCGUCUCCGCCUGACAGCUCUGCCCUUCAGGGAGGCUGCAAAGAAGUGUAACCAUGGGCCCAACCAGUUGGGAGCAGAAGAAAGGAAAAAACUCUACCCUACAAAGGCUGUUAAAUUUGAGAUGCCAGACACAGAGGUGGGUGACUCAACAAUUUCUUGAAAAGGAAAGAUGCCUGCAAAGCUGGGAGAGGGGGCAAGCUGCCCCGUCACCUGCCUUGUGUUGGAAGCAGUGGUGAGCUGGACAUGAAAAAGCUGUAGCACAAUGUUGCCUAGACAGCCCACACCCUGUCCCAGGGAACCUGGACAUCACAAAGCCUGAGGCUGGGGAGGCCUGAGAGUCUAUUUAAUGGAAGUGGGAGGGAACCUGGACAUCACAAAGUCUGAGGCUGGGGAGCUCCGACAGUCUAUUUAAUGGAGGUGGGAGAGAACCUGGACAUCACAAAGCCUGAGGCUGGGGAGGCCUGAGAGUCUAUUUAAUGGAGGUGGGAGAGAGGCUGUGAGCUUCGUUUAGGAUGAUGUCACUGUUGUUUAGUUGCUAAGUCAUGUCCGACUCUGCGACCCCACGGACUGUAGCUCGCCAGGCUCCUCUGUCCAUGCAAUUCUCCAGGCAAGAAUACUGGAGUGGGUUGGAAUUCCCUUCUCCAGGGGAUCUUCCUGACCCAAGGAUUGAACCUGGACCUCCUUCACUGCAGGUGGAUUCUUUACCACUGAGCCACCAGGGAACCCCUUAGCUUAGGAGAGAGGAAAACCUCACAAGUGAGAGCAGAAUCUGGCCUGCCUCACUGUCCUGUCAGGAGCAGCUCAGUGAAACCGGUUCAGAUCAUCUCACCGGGCCUGGCUGGCAGAGUGGGGCCAAAAGCUGCCCCCGUUUCAUUUAGAAGCAAACACUGGCCUAGCACAGGAGCCCUGGGGCUUGGGACAGAGCUCUGGGGUGAGGUGAGCAGCCAGCCUCCAGGGUUCACACGCCUCCGGGCCCUCAGUGGAAAGCUCAAGUCUCUUCCAGAGCCUCCCUCGACGGCCGCUGCCUGCCAAUCCGGUUGGCACUUCCACCAGGAUGGCUCCUCAGGAAGUGGCGUGGGGCCACUUGGGUGUUUUCUGCCUCUGCCUCCCCGAGCCAGGGCUCCUCGGGGAAUGGCGUACUGCGGCUUCAGCUGCUGCAGCAGAAGAUGACCAACAGAACUGGAGAAAACAGCUUACCCCGGAGCCGCCACUGGGAGAGCAGAGGAAACCCACCAGGCUCAGGGAAGCUAGACAAUGGGGAACCUUCGAGACCUCCACCCUCUUGGCCGGGUUCUGUGACUGUAGAGUCAGGAAGAGUCCCCCCAGGAGUGAACCACUUCCUGACCCGGACUCUGCUUCAUUGACUUCUUAAUUCUACCACCAAGGGGUCUUGGACUUGAGUCCAGCAAUCACACCUUGAGAAUUCGUGGCCAGGAGCCUGCGGCCCUUCAGUGGCAAGGAUCCUCAGGGACUGUCCCAGGAGGAAGCCGGAUCACAGAGCUACCAGCCACCCUUUGGCAAGUGAGAGCACAGAGGCUGGUGGCCUCUUCCAGCUCCCGGUCCUGGUCAGCACAGGCCAGGAUGAUGGCCACUCUCUCCAGAGGCAGCAGAGAAACUCCUAAAACCCACAAGCUGGAAGCAUAGAAGGUUCAGCAGAGAAGCCAGAGUUCUGACCUUCACGAUGCCGAGUAAGAAGAGACAGGAUAGCAUCACUUGCAGGAAGGAACCAGAGAGUCUGAGGACAAAAGUGGAUAUUUUCCUCCUUAAUUUUCCCAGAAAAGGAGGGUUUUGCCUAAACAUGUGUGAGCCUUGCUAAAAUACAUCAGAUAAGAAUAUGUAUAGCUACCUAAACUUAACUAGCAAAAAAGGGUUUCCAACCUUGGCAUUUGGAGAAGGAAAUGGCAACCCACUGGAUAAUCCCACGGACAGAGGAGCCUAGUGAGCCACAGUCCAUGGGGUCAUGGAGUCGGACACAACUGAGCACGCACCAGUCAACACUGGCAUUCCACGCAGCCCGGCCCAUCCCAGUUAGGUCCCUGAGGGCAAAGGCUAGCGACUUAGUACAUACAUGUGUGGCAAGGCCAGGGCCAGCUCAGGUUCAUCGUCGGUGCAGGCCAGUACGAUGCAAUUCCUUAAAAAAGAUUUCUUAAUCUAAAACCAGCUGUUGUCUGUUGUAGGCCAGAAUAUGACAUUUUAAUUAGCAUUAUUGUUCCGCUUCUGAAACCAGAACCUAUGGCAUCCCAAGGGCAGAUGAUCCUGGCCCAAGCUUAUGAGUGAGGCUUGCUGGUGAGCAGCUCAGAAAUACACCCACACAGGACAGGGUGGAGCUCCUAGUCCCCUCUGAACCCAUGAAUCAGAGCACUUGCUAUACUCCUGUCCUGAAUUUUUCCCUGUGACCUGUACCCUCUCUCUUUCCCUAGGACAGAAGCUUUGAGGUUUGCUUUCAGUGCCUAGGAUGUAAUAUUUAUUCUAUAAUAAUAAUAAAAGAAAAUUGUACACUAUGGUGCAAAAUCUAACCCCCAAUAUUUCUGGGGGUAGUUAGGUACUCGAAAUGGAGUUUUAAUGCCCUUAGAAGACCAAUGUCUUCUGAGAAGGUGAUAAAGGUCCACUGGCUCUGUCCCCUUGGGCCCCCAAUGACCUGCUACUGAAGCAUUUCUCUUCCAGAAUCAAAGGAAUAAUAGAGAGGGAGAGAAGGAGGGCAGGAAGGAGGAGGAGGAAAGGUGGCCCUUUUGAGAGG
ensembl:lncRNA